AUGGCCAAGUCUACUAGUAUCAGCUUUGGUCUAAUUUUUUUACUUAUUCUCAUUAUGAUGUUUAUUGUUGAAACUCGAGCAGCACCAAUAGUUGCAGUCCCAACAUGUGACACAAUUCAUGGAGUGGGAAAAGCUGAAACUUGCUCCAGCAUCAUUCAAAAGUUCAACCUAGUUGAAAGUCACUUCCUUGAGAUCAAUCCUAACAUUAGCUGUGUUGGUAUCUUUGUGGGCCAGUGGGUGUGUAUAGAGGGUCAAGUGAAUUGA